AAUGAACGUUGGCGGCGUGGAUUAGGCAUGCAAGUCGAGCGCGAUACCUCCUUCGGGAGGUGGAAAGCGGCGAAAGGGAGAGGAACACGUGGAUUAUCUACCCCUGGACCCAGGAUAGCUGCGGAAACUGCAGGUAAUACUGGAUAACGUCUCCGGACCAAAGGUGUGAUUCCGUCCAGGGAGGAGUUCGCGUCCUAUUAGCUAGUUGGUAGGGUAACGGCCUACCAAGGCGAUGAUGGGUACCGGGUGUGAGAGCAUGGCCCGGCUCACUGGGACUGAGACACUGCCCAGACACCUACGGGUGGCUGCAGUCGAGGAUCUUCGGCAAUGGGCGCAAGCCUGACCGAGCGACGCCGCGUGCGGGAUGAAGGCCUGG
rnacentral:rRNA from 1 species